rnacentral:rRNA from 1 species
GACGAACGCUGGCGGCAUGCCUAACACAUGCAAGUCGAACGGUAAGGCCCCUUCGGGGGUACACGAGUGGCGAACGGGUGAGUAACACGUGGGUAACCUGCCCUUCACUGGGGGACAACCGAGGGAAACUUCGGCUAAUACCGCAUGAUGUGCAACGUCUCAAGACGAUGUACCAAAACUCCGGUGGUGAAGGAUGGGCCCGCGGCGGAUUAGCUAGUUGGUGGGGUAAUGGCCUACCAAGGCGACGAUCCGUAGCUGGUCUGAGAGGACGAUCAGCCACACUGGAACUGAGACACGGUCCAGACUCCUACGGGAGGCAGCAGUGGGGAAUCUUGCGCAAUGGGCGAAAGCCUGACGCAGCAAUGCCGCGUGAGGGAAGACGGUCUUAGGAUUGUAAACCUCUUUCAGCAGGGACGAAAACAGACGGUACCUGCAGAAGAAGCCCCGGCUAACUACGUG